UUUGUACACACCGCCCGUCACACCAUGGAAGCUGGUCACGCCCGAAGUCGUUACCCUAACCUUUCGAGGAGGGGGACGCCGAAGGUAGGACUGGUGACUGGGGUGAAGUCGUAACAAGGUAGCCGUACCGGAAGGUGUGGCUGGAUCACCUCCUUUUUAGGGAGACCCACUUUUGAGUUUGUGUUCAGCAUUUGGUUCUUUUGAACAAAUGUUAUUGAGUGAGAAAAAAACUCAAAAGCCAUCCCGAGGUCGAUCAAGAGUCAACAGUUUAAGCUUUCAAACUAUAUUUGGUUCAUAUUCCAUCUUGAUUUCUUAGAUGACAUCCAGGAACUAACUAAAGGUUGUGGUUUAAAGUUUAAACUAACAAUCUUACAUACUAGUUAAUGUGAAUGAGGAUAUAUCAUCUCAGCAUCUUGUGAAUGGCACAAGACUGCUGGGUAGAAUCUAGCAAAAGAACCUUGAAAACUGCAUAGAGACGCGAGAAAUGUUAGGUAGUUAACGUUAAACAGUUAACACUCCAAGCAAGAAAAGCAAUGACUAUUUGUAGUCAAGCAAGAAAAGGCGAAUGGUGGAUACCUAGGCACACAGAGAA
rnacentral:misc_RNA from 1 species